AUUGAACGCUGGCGGCAGGCCUAACACAUGCAAGUCGAACGAGUGGCGGACGGGUGAGUAUUGUCUGGGAAAAUGCCUGAUGGAGGGGGGUAACUACUGGAAACGGUAGCUAUUACAGCAUACCAUAAGAUGUGCCCAGAUGGGAUUAGCUCGUAGGUGGGGUAACGGCUCACCUAGGCGCCGAUCCCUAGCUGGUCUGAGAGGAUGACCCGCCACACUGGAACUGAGACACGGCCCAGACUCCUACGGGAGGCAGCAGUGGGGAAUAUUGCACAAGGGGCGCAAGCCUGAUGCAGCCAUGCCGCGUGUAUGAAGAAGGCCUUCGGGUUGUAAAGUACUUUCAGCGGGGAGGCGUUACUCGCAGAAGAAGCACCGGCUAACUCCGUGCCAGCAGCCGCGGUAAUAC
rnacentral:rRNA from 1 species